rnacentral:tRNA from 1 species
GCCGUCAUAGCUCAGUAGGUAGAGCGGUGUCUUUGUAAUUCACAUGUCCGGGGUUCGAAUCCUCGUGGCGGCUCCA